rnacentral:rRNA from 1 species
AUUCCAGCUCCAAUAGCGUAUAUUAAAGUUGUUGCAGUUAAAAAGCUCGUAGUUGGAUUUCUGGUAGGAGCGACCGGUCCGCCCUGUUAAGGGUGUGUACUAGCGUUGUCUCUGGCCAUCCUUGGGGGAACUGCGCGGGGAGACUUGCGUUAGGGAACCCAUCGUUUACUGUGAAAAAAUUAGAGUGUUUAAAGCAGGCUUAUGCCGUUGAAUACAUUAGCAUGGAAUAAUAAGAUAGGACCGCGUGGUCGUCUUGUUGGUUUGCACCGCGAGGUAAUGAUUAAUAGGUACAGUUGGGGGUAUUCGUAUUUAAUUGUCAGAGGUGAAAUUCUUGGAUUUAUGAAAGACGAACUUCUGCGAAAGCAUUUACCAAGGAUGUUUUCAUCA